CCAGCGCAGCGCACUCCCUGCCAGCCACAGCCUGACACGCCGUGCGGCCCCCCAGUCUCCCGCGGUCGCCUCCCCCAGGCAUGGCACAGGGUUUCGCCUCAUUAUGGCAGCAGCACGGCACAGCACGCUCGACUUCAUGCUCAGCGCCAAAGCUGAUGGCGAGACCAUUCUAAAAGGCCUCCAGUCCAUUUUCCAGGAGCAGGGGAUGGUGGAGUCAGUGCAUACCUGGCAGGACCAUGGCUAUUUAGCAACCUACACAAACAAAAACGGCAGCUUUGCCAAUUUGAGAAUUUACCCACAUGGCUUGGUGUUACUGGACCUUCAGAGUUAUGACAGUGAUGCACAGAGCAAGGAGGAAAUUGACACACUUCUGAACAAAGUUGAAGAAAGAAUGAAAGAAUUGAACCAGGACAGUACUGGGUGGGUGAAGCGAUUACUACCCAUAGUGCGAGGAGGGGCCAUCGACAGAUACUGGCCCACCGCUGACGGGUGCCUGGUUGAAUACGACAUUGAUGAAGUGGUGUAUGAUGAAGAUUCACCGUAUCAGAACAUUAAAAUUCUACACUCAAAGCAAUUUGGGAAUAUUCUCAUCCUUAGCGGGGACGUUAAUUUGGCAGAGAGUGACUUGGCGUAUACCCGGGCCAUCAUGGGCAGUGGCAAAGAAGAUUACACUGGCAAAGAUGUACUGAUUCUGGGACGUGGAGAUGGGGGCAUAUUAUGUGAAAUAGUCAAACUGAAACCAAACAUGGUCACUAUGGUAGAGAUUGAGCAAAUGGUGAUUGAUGGAUGUAAGAAAUAUAUGCGAAAAAAUGUGCAGUGAUGUCUUAGACAAUCUUAAAGGAGACUGCUAUCAGGUUCUAAUAGAAGACUGUAUUCCAGUACUGAAGAGGUAUGCCAAAGAAGGGAGAGAGUUUGAUUAUGGGAUUAAUGAUUUGACGGCUGUUCAAAUCUCCACGUCUCCAGAAGAAGAUUCCACAUGGGAGUUUCUCAGACUGAUUCCUGACCUCUCCAUGAAAGUAUUGAAGCAGGAUGGGAAAUAUUUCACACAGGGGAACUGUGUCAAUCUGACAGAAGCCCUGUGGCUCUAUGAAGAACAGCUCGGGCGCCUGUAUUGUCCUGUGGAAUUCUCGAAGGAGAUCGUUUGUGUUCCUUCAUACUUGGAAUUGUGGGUAUUUUACACUGUGUGGAAGAAAGUUAAGCCUUGAAAAUGAAUGUCCCCAAUCAUGUGCUGCAGAUAACGUUCCUGACCUCCAUAUGCUGUACAUGACAUCGAAAUGAGUCAGGCAAUUGAUUGUGAAUUCCUUAAAGUUUUCUUUAAUAAUUAUUUUUAAUUUAAAAAAGCAAAUGGGAAAUGUAUAUUUUGAUGAGCUAGGGUGUUAUUUUUGUUGAAAGUCAGCUGAAGGACAGUUAGCACAGUGAAGACUGCUAAAUGCACUGACCCCCUAGAAUGUGAUUUUUGUUUUUAUUUCUGUGUGGGCUUUUAUUUAUUUAUUUAUUUAUUUAUUUAUUUUUUGGUAGACCUUCAAUUUGGAUGUUUGGAGGAAUGAACAUCAUUGUUUUGUUCUGGAGGGAAGUUCUUGAUGCUGUUUCUUUCUCCCAAAUUGACUUAGACAUUAAAAUUUGGUGCUUAUAAGAGUUAAAGACAUGAAUAGUAAUGCUUCAAUUAAAAUCACAAAAGAGACAAAAAAAAGUUUAUCUCAUAGAAGUAGAGAGCAGAACAGUAGUUACUAGAGGUUAGGAAGGGUAGUGGAAGGGAAACAGAGGAUGGUUAAUGGAUACAAAAUAACAGCUAGAUAGGAGAAAUAAGUUCUAGUGUUCUAUGUAGUGUUCACUAUAGGGUGACUAUAAUUAACAACAAUUUAGUGUAUAUUUUCAAAUAGCUAGAAGGAGACAGACUUUGAGUGUUUUCAACACAAGAAAUGAUAAAUGUUUGAGGUGGUGAAUAUGCUAAUUAACCUGAUUUGAUCAUAUACACUGUAUACAUAU